rnacentral:lncRNA from 1 species
UAGUCUGAGUUUGGAGAUAGUAAAUGUCAAAUUAAACAUGCACUAACAAUGGAAGGAAAAAAUAUACAAAAAAAAUUCAUACGUUUAACCAAGCUAUUCAGCUUUUCAAAACCCAGGUUUUGACAAACAUCGAACAUGCUUCAAAGGGCACCGGAUUCCACAUUGAUUAAACAUCAGAUUGAAGCCAAAAGUUUCACAAAGAACACGUAGAUAUCGUUGCCCAACGGAAAGAUAUUAGGCCAACCAAAAUGAAAUCCAAGGUCUUGUUGGAAAUCUGGAAAAUUGAGCUCUAAAGAUAGUGAUAUGGAGGACACCGAUAAGAGUUAAAAUAAGGAUAAAUUAGAUUCUCAAUUACAAAACAAGUCUAACAUGCCAAUGAAGUGCACAAAAUCUAUUUACUUACUAUGUAUGGUUCAUUGAUCGGAAUUGUGGAAUGUAUGCAUAAAACGAAUAUUCCGUUCAUAGCCAUACCUCGUGUCAUGCCGGC